UACGUAGGGUGCAAGCGUUGUCCGGAAUUAUUGGGCGUAAAGAGCUCGUAGGCGGCUCGUUGCGUCGGCUGUGAAAAACCCGCAGCUCAACUGUGGGCUUGCAGCUGAUACGGGCGGGCUGGGAUUCGGUAGGGGAGACUGGAAUUCCUGGUGUAGCGGUGAAAUGCGCAGAUAUCAGGAGGAACACCGGUGGCGAAGGCGGGUCUCUGGGCCGUUACUGACGCUGAGGAGCGAAAGCGUGGGGAGCGAACAGG
rnacentral:rRNA from 1 species